CAAGGCAAACCGGUAGGCCGGCAGCCUAGCAGGCAAGCAGCCAGGCAGGCCAGGAGAAUCGAGCAACCAGAGAGCAGCUAGAGAGGAGGCUGGCUGGCAAGCAGGCAAACUAAGAUGCAGAAAAUCUUAGAAAACAGCGUUCAAGUAUCCUUGAAAUUUCUGCUUACCGACGAUGAAGCAGCGCCGCUCGUUAGUCCAGCGCUAUUUUUCUUUUCUUCCUCUUCCAACUCCUCGGUUCUUAAAAAUUCUAUCUCACACACACGAUAAUCGCGCCAUUAUAGCACGCAUUACGUAACCCGCCUCGGUUUCCGAGGAUAACGAGCAAUCCCGGCGAGGGAAGCCAGAGAUAUAAUUGAAAGACAGGUGAAGACGCACAGCUCGUAGGGGUGCUAAUGAGGGAUAUCUCGGCAGUGUCGCUCGGGGGAAGUUGUUUGCGAAAUAAAUGACGCGGGUACUAUCGUACUUGGAAAAUAUCGCGCGUGAAUAUUCGCCACGUACCAUGGGAGCAAUAUCGAAAAAAAACUCGGACGAUAUAGAAAAAGGAGAAGAGAAACGAAUGUAUCAUCUACGUCGAAUGUACAGGUGAAACUUGCACGUGUGGAAAUGCACUUGCUAUUAAACACGGUUGUAACCUGUUACUUACGCGAGGCAGAAACAGCAAUAACUUUUGCCGUUCAUUAAAAAAAAAGGACACCGGUUGGUUGCAGUUGAAUGAAUGAAUCCAUACAUAUUAUUUAUCGUUCGAUUCGUAGUGCGUAUACCGGAUAGCGCUGUAAGCCAGUUAACAUGUCGUGAUGGUAGAUGGAGGGACUGUUUAUCGGGAAACAUUUUAGUGGCUAUAGCGAGUAAAUUGUGCCGUUGUUCCGCGAAAUCAAGUUGCUCGACAUUUAUUGUCUCAUUUUUGCGGAACGAGCAGCCUAGUAGAGGAAAUAACGUCGUCUAAGACGUAUCUGCGAGAAAUUCCUCGUAUGAUGUUUAGAGAGAUAGUCGCCGUGAAAUUUUACAAGGCUACGUUCCACUAGAUCGCGUGAGCAUUAUUCGUUCGACCAUCGAUUACGCGAGCGUUGCAUCUUUCCGUUUGGCGCCACUAUCUUCGUACUCGGACUUGGCGAUACACUUUGCCAAUUACUUAUCUUUCGAGAUUAGCGAGCGUAAAUCCUGUUCUCUUUUGUCAGAGUGGAGAACUUGGUACAUACAGACACACUCACGUUUGCCGCUGUAGUGGAGUUUGCAGAGCGUAUCAGAAUGUACAGAGGCGGCAAGUUUACACGUACGAGAACGAGAACUCCGGCGGUAGAACGUCGACCAGUAAUUAGGCCAGUGAAACAGGUCGAUCGAUUUUGUCCCGAAAAAGCUCACGCUCCAAAAACCUAUUUAGUUCUAGACAAGAGAAGGGGGAGGAGGGGCUCGCGAUACGUCUCGGUGACUCAGCCCGCCUCUCUGCGCACACGUAUUUCUUUCGAUAACCAGUCGUGUUCCUUUGAAUUCCAUAAUUAUUCGUUACGCGUAACACACGUAUCUGUUUGACCGUUGAGUUCCUUCAACGGCUGCCAUGUCCCAUAUUUGUAACAGGAUCUCGUGAAAAGAAAGGCGAGAGAUCGAUACCGCUGAUAAACGUCUUCUUCCAUAUCUAAUAAAUAUAACGAACGUCGGACAUCACAGGCUACGUAUUCCAAACGAAAGUAACAUCAAAGAAAGAUAUGAAAUCGCGAACGCUUCGAAUCGAAAACUUGGAAACGAAGUCUAAACGGAAAGGAGAAUUUCGUAGACCUAACGAAGAUGGAUAGAAGGUGGUACUUUCCAUCGUUUCGCGAGAAUAACGUGUCACGUAACGGAAAACGAGGAAGGCCGAUUAAGAAAGACUACACCAAGACGCUAACGAGCGGCGUGAUUGCGCAAUUUCCGGGAAGAAACAAUCGCAGCGAGGGAGCUACGAUUUUUCUUCAAGGAGCAGAAUGGCAUUCGUCCUUGAAGCGCCCUUGAUACUGGCUGUGGAAGCUAAAUCGGCCGAUGGAAAGCCGUCGGGUUUGGCGAGUGUAGGGCGUGGUCUAGCGAGGCACCCGGUGACCUCCUAGCCAGCUAGGCGGCCAUCUUUGAGCAUCGAGUCGUCCGGGCGUGCUGCGAGGGUGAAAGUUGGGGUGGGUUUUCGGUGAGGAUAGAAGCACGAACAGGCUGCUUCGUAAAAUCCUCUCUCCACUGCGUGGCCUCGCUCCGUCAAAGGAGACGCCCUCUCCCACGCCUCGCAAUACUUCCUUCUCUUUGCUCUCUUCUCCCUCGUUCUUUCUCUCCCCACCGGAAGUUCUCGCUUUCGUUUUCCUUUUCCUCCGUUGCUUCGUUUCGCGCCGCUUCGAUCACUCAUCUCGUCUCCUCAAAUGCUUUUGCCUCUGCGUAGAUACCAUUUCCAUUGUACGAUUAUUGUUUUGAGGAACGUUUCAUCGGUUCAAACAAUUAGAAGAUGGUGCCGAUUUUUCAACCUUCCGAGGAAACAUCUUUGCCGAUACAUCAUCCGGUUUAUCGUACUUUUCGCUUUAUCAAAGCGAAGAUCUAUGUUUCAGCUGUUUUCAACAUAUUUUCUCGAGUUUACGAAGAUACGAAGUUGGGGAUAAAUCGAAUCGAGAUUUAUAUGUUUCUAUACGAUUGGAUCCAGUUCACGCGAGAAGAGUUUCGUACUCGCAGAGGCGGCAUCGAAAAAUAAUUUACCCGUCGACGUAGAAUUGUCGCUUCUAUAGGUGUCGCAUCGUACACAGUCGCAGCUUGACGAUAAAGCCAGGAUCUAGUCCCAGGAAAAGGCAAGGGAACAGCAGGAAAGGACUUUAUUUCUGGCGAGUUCGAGAGACAAGCUAUAUAUCGCGAUAUAUCGACGAUAUUUAAAAUUUAGCUGACCGAUGAAAAAUGUAUGAACUUCGGUACGGACAAUCGUAAAGUUACACGGUCGAUACACGGUCACGAGGAUAAAUGUAAUCGUCCGGAUAAAACGUUACGGAGCCUAGCAACCUUUGACGUAGCGAUACGUGUUUCGUUCGACGUUCGUAAAUAUCGUGACGCUAAAAGGUAAGACAUUUUUCCUUCGCUUCUCCCUUUUUCUUCCUCAUUUCUGUUCGCGGCAUAGGUAGAAAAAAUUUCGCGGCUACGAUGACGCCCAAUGAACGAAAAACGCAGACGUUUGUCGAGUGUCUCAAAACAGGAUACGAAUCCCGAUGGGGUGUCAACGGUUUGAUAUACUUGUGGUUAUACAACGCGUAAUCGAAUUUCCGACGAUAGCCAUACUCUUCUUAUUUUUCUGUUUCUCUUUCUCCUCGGGCCAUCCUUUCUUCUUCUUUUUCUUUUUUUUUUUUUUUCUUGCCACUGCCGUUCUAUGCAUUGUCGGUAUUCUACUGACGCACUUCCGGAAAAGUUCCUGCAACGUAAAUUCCGAUGAACCGUACUGCGAAAGCUCGAUGCACGGCGAACCUCAGCGCACGUAGAAGCAUGGAAAUGUAUACUGACAUUCCUCGAUGAGUAAAAUACGAGGAAACCGAUUUCUUCGAUAGAAACGUUAUCGAAAUGCAAAAUCCAACGAUAGGCGGACGAUAGCAGAAAGAACUCUAGAAAAAUCGCAUGUAACGCGUCACGUUUACCUUAUAAUUCUUUAUGCGCUUGAUCAUUGUUCCAGUGUCGUAGAAACUUAGCCUGCUUCUCUCGAUGGUUGCUUACUUGUAGAAGAAGCAUCUCCCAGUUUUGAACGGCUAUAUCUCGUUACGACACUUUUAGAAAGCACACUUUUGUGAACGAGGCUGGUUAGGUCGGUCUUUCUUGCGUAACGCCAAUUUUACGGAUGCGUGCACGAUCAUUAAAAUUCAAGUUCGCUCCAGGUAACGCUCGUUUCAGGUAAUCAAAAUAGAAAUUUCGCGUGGGCAUUAAUCGCCUCGGAUAAUCCCACAGCGACAGCUUAUACAAACUUCGAAGUAGCGAUGGUUCGAAUUUAACUCUCGACUUAGCCGUUUUAAAAUUAUGCGCGUGAUUCGAGUCAAAAGGAACUUGGACGUGUAACUUUCUAUUUCUGGGCAUGUCUUUAGUUUUCGUAACGAGACAACGUCCAAAUCGUUAAAAAUCACAGUGACGAGACGUGCAAACGGAUUGGAAACGACGAUUUGGUAACGGAAGAUGCGGUAGUCGAUUUUCGUGCAACUUUAUGAAGCGGUAGUUUGUGUAGCGUAUUGUAAAGGAUCCGAAGCUUUCUGUUCUUUUUCGCUUGUUCAAGGCCUGGUUGCCUGGUCUACCCCACCGCUGAAUUCUCAUACUUAUAUCACAUCACGGUUUCGUUCUCCUCUCCCCCCUCUGUAAGUUUUCUACGUAGAAAGACCUCGGUCGUUCUCUCUUCGCUGUUCUUCCAUUCUCCGUUCCUCCCACUUGCUCUUUAGUCGCCCAGGACUUCUGUGUGUCUAGCGUUGGUCGUUCGAUUCUGCCUCUUAAUUUCUCUAACAACUUGCAUCUGAUAUCGUUCGUAAGAUCGAUCGAGAACUGUACAAAUGUUCCCCUUUCUGCUUAUAUACGAACGAAUAAACGCAAUUUACCGUAAGAAACUACAAUGAACGAGACGCGUUAUAUAAUUUCUUUCCACGUGGUUUCAGCUCGAUAGAUUUAUCACUUUCUACCAAGGUUGCGCACUACGUUUCUUCAAAUUUACUACACGUCGCUGUUUGAACUAAUCGAGAACUUGUACCGUUCCGCGUGGCGGAAAAAAUUCGAAGCGUCUCGAGGCCAUCGCUAGCCAUGUCUUCCUUUUCAUUCUCGACCCCCCUCCUGUCCGCCACGCAACACACUCUUCGUCUUUACCCGCUCUUCGUGAUGAUCCACGAUCUUUACGGAUGCCCCUUUCCCCGCCGUUCAACCGUUUCGCAAUGAUGUCAUCCACAACAUUGGCGCAGGCAACGAGAAUUUUCAAACGACGGAAAGUAGAAAAUGAAGUCUGACGCCUCGACGAUGUCGCUAUGGAACGAGUGCUUUUUAUGUAUAUUCCACAUAUGUAUAUAGAUAAACAGAUGUGCGACUAUCGUAAAUGUUUCGCCUAAAAAUUGUGACAGUUAAAGCCAGUUGGCGUAUAUAAUGAAUAGCGUGGAAUUUUCGUCGCUGAUGUUAUAGAACGUGCGAAAGAUGCAGCGAGGACGGAACUCGUAUUUAGCGGAUUAAGUCGAAACCCGAAGAAGACGAGCCAAGUCACUAGCCGGCAUUGUUUCGGAUUAUGUAUUUGAUGCGCGUAAAGAGGUUUAAUCCUUUACCGAAGCGGUUAACGAGAUUACCAAGGCGAGGGUAUAAACGUUCUAGAAAUCUGUAUAACCUUUUACCAUGUUGAUACGUGAAUUACCUAAAAAAAUGUUAGCCGCAGAUUGAACUAGAGUGGUGUGGUCUUUUAAAAGAAGCAAAUGAAGUUUUCUGAUUAUAUA